UACGUAGGGUGCGAGCGUUGUCCGGAAUUAUUGGGCGUAAAGAGCUCGUAGGCGGUGUGUCGCGUCGGCCGUGAAAACCUGUGGCUUAACUAUGGGCUUGCGGUCGAUACGGGCAUCACUGGAGUUCGGCAGGGGAGACUGGAAUUCCUGGUGUAGCGGUGAAAUGCGCAGAUAUCAGGAGGAACACCGGUGGCGAAGGCGGGUCUCUGGGCCGAUACUGACGCUGAGGAGCGAAAGCGUGGGGAGCGAACAGG
rnacentral:rRNA from 1 species